rnacentral:rRNA from 1 species
UACGUAGGGUGCAAGCGUUGUUCGGAAUUACUGGGCGUAAAGGGCGCGUAGGCGGCCUUCUAAGUCGAACGUGAAAUCCCCGGGCUCAACCCGGGAACUGCGUCCGAUACUGGCGGGCUUGAAUCCGGGAGAGGGAUGCGGAAUUCCAGGUGUAGCGGUGAAAUGCGUAGAUAUCUGGAGGAACACCGGUGGCGAAGGCGGCAUCCUGGACCGGCAUUGACGCUGAGGCGCGAAAGCUAGGGGAGCAAACGGG